UCUUUAUGUUUUUGAAUUUUUGGUUUUAAUUUUUCUGAAUCAAAGUUUUAGUGUUUGUAUAUGUAUUUAUGUAUUACGACUUUUGAAUUAUAUAAAUUUUUCGGCUAACAAUCUAAUAAUUAUAUUUUUUUCCAGGUUAACAUAAUAAAAAAGAUUGGUAGUUGGCCAAAAAAAAGUUAUAUAUAUUUUAAACAAAUCAUUAGACAUUCUGUUUCUUUAUUAUAUAUAUUAUAUAGUUCUAAUUUUAUUAAUGUGAACUUUUUGUGCAGGAUUUUUGUAGAAAGUGAGAUCUAUUAUUUACAACAAAUGCUUGGCUUGUAAAGAGAUGAUUCCAUAAAGUUUUGUUGCGGAAAUUAUUCAACAAGCUAAGGAAUUAAUUCGUUAGAGUAAUUUUAAUUUAGAUGGAUUUUGGAAUUGUUCUUCUUUUAUUUUUAAGCUGGAUAGAUUAGAAUUUUAUUUUACACAUAACAAAUUCUUUGAUUUAUUAUUUAAUUUGUUCAAAGUACUUGUAAUAUUAUUACUUUUUUCUUUAGUUUAGAUUUAAAAUGUGUUUACAUCACAUAUAUUCCAUGUUUGUAAAGUUUGGCAUUUAUGAAUAUACAAAUUGAAUAUGAAUAUUUGUGUUA
rnacentral:lncRNA from 1 species